CUCUCAGUCUGGCAUGGAAUAUACAGGACACCGAAAUCACAACGCGCAACAAUGUGUCGUCUCUCAGCGUAAUUAAAAAGUUGAGGAAGAGGGGUGCGACAAAGCAGUGAAUGGAUACGUAUGAUAUGUAACUGUACACAUGUCAAGAACCGAUAGGAGUGAACACCCUCGUAACAAUGCUGCCAAAACCAUGAAAAAUAGCUGGCUCGUCAUAGAUGUACACAAACAACUACCACGUCAUCCAUUUAUAAGUAGCGUGGAGCCAACAAACAUGGAACCAUUUUUUUCAUUUGUGCACAAUAAAUGACAACAUUCAGAUCAACGUUAAUAAUUAAUUGUCAUGUGUUAGUCAUUCUAUAAAGGGGCGCUAAUGCUCGGUUUUUGCAUACAUUUAAUGUAAGCUUGCCAUCUAGCCUGUGGUUAUGUUGCAUAGCAACCCGUUUAGCGUUGAGACUUUCGUCCGGACUACUUUUUCUGGCAGUAUGUAUUUAUUGUGAAUGUAUUUAUUAAAGCAACAUUUUCAAUAAA